ACCAUAAUGUUCAUUUGGCCCUAAAAAUGAAUUUGACACCCCUGGUUUGGAGCAGCAUGUUAAGUGUGUCUAAAAAAGUUAAGUAGGUUUUCUGACGGGUUCUUCUUUGUUGAAAAAUGUUUUGUCUCUCCUCCAUGAGACUUCUCCAGUCUGAGGAGUUACUUUAAAACAGACGAGCUAAAUCAUCAGGCCAGGACACGGCAGUCUACACUCAUCUACAGCACUGAUUGACAAACUAGAGGAGACCACCCAUGGUGAAGUCAAAGAGUCCUCGGACAGUGAAAGGGAUUUUGAAGACAGUGGAAAUGAUGAGUGGGUUGGACAGUGAUUCCAAUGUGAAGGUGACCUUUAACCUGAAGAACUGAUGUGAGAGUGACAGGUUUAGUGCAUGCCAUUGGGCAUAAAUAUGUAUUAAAUUAAUCCAUUAAUUUCUCCAAUUUUACAUCAACCAGUUUUAAAGAAGAACUAAAGUUCAAGCUAAUCAACAAAUARUUCUGUGAAAGCCUUUCASUUUCAAMAAACACUUGUUUCUGAAUGUUCACUAAUGGUCUAAUGUGUUACUUUUAACCCCUGGCUGGUAACRUGGUCUGUUGCACAAAUAAUCAACAAAAGCACAUCUAAGUGAGAGACCAUCAAUAUCUAUCCUUUAACACCAGAUUUAUGACAUUUUAUUCUGACGUGGUGAAUCUACAUGUAAG